rnacentral:rRNA from 1 species
GAUGAACGCUGGCGGCGUGCCUAAUACAUGCAAGUCGAGCGAACGGACGAGAAGCUUGCUUCUCUGAUGUUAGCGGCUGACGUGUGAGUAACACGUGUAUAACCUACCUAUAUUACUUUGAUAACUUCGGGAAACCGUAGCUAAUACCGUCUAAUAUUUUGAACCUCAUGUUUCCAAAGUUAUAUACGGUCUUUCUUUCUCUUAUAGAUGUAUCCGCGCUUCAUUAGCUAGUUGGUAAGGUAACGGCUUACCAAGGCAACGAUGCAUAGCCGACCUGAGAGGGUGAUGGGCAAGACUGGAAGUGAGAAACGGUCAAGACACGUACGGGAGGAAGAAGUAGGGAAUGUUGCGAAAUGGGCGAAAGGAUGACGGAGCAAAGCCGCGUGAGUGAUGAAGGACUUCGGAUCGUAAAAAUCUGUUAUUAGGGAAGAACAAAUGUGUAAGUAACUGUGCACAUCGUGACGGUACCUAAUCAGAAAGCAACGGCUAACUACGUG